CACUAUACUUUGCCCUGCGGAUCGAAUCUCCAAAGGGAAAAUCUCGCUAGGAACUAACCAUCCCAAUGGACCCCAUGACCAUGCAAACCCAGCCACAUAUAUGCAUAUCAUAGUCAAAACCAAAUAAGCAUACCCUUUGCCUAUGCUGCCAUGAUCACCUAGCUCAGAUGCCAUAACGCAUCCAAUCACAGUUUGCGACAGCAACAUUUG
rnacentral:misc_RNA from 1 species